GUAACCUAUUUUACAUUAACAUCAUUUGGUCUCUGUAGGAUAGUUGUCUCACAUCUCUUGAUAUCACAACAAAUCAAUUUGUAGGUUCUAUAAAGUGGUCCAAUCCUAUGGUGAAGGGAGGGGGAAUUUUGACUGCCAACCGAGGAGGAUAUUUUUGGACAGAAAUUUAGCCUAUUAAUGCAACAAGCACACCCAUCCUACUGACACCUCAAACUCUAUGUGUAGACAACAUCACUGUUGUGACAUUCUUAUUUCUAAGCCUUAAUUUAUGUCCGUUACAACGCCCUUAGGGAGGAAAUAGUAGCAGAU
rnacentral:lncRNA from 1 species